GGGAACUGUAAAGUCACCAAUCAAGACACAAUGGUUUGAUUGCGUGGUGUUUGUGACAGUGAUACCUGCAGCUGAUGUGAGUAAAACAGUGUCUAUGAUACAGGGGCUUUUAAUACCCAUCUAUAACUACAACAACAUCCUCCUGAAAACAAACCCAGCGUCCAUAAACAUCCUCUCAGUCGCUGUCUUUCCCAACGUGACUUCAAAUCCUGCUUUGACCACUGUUCCACCAGUCUCAAGUACAAAUAUUACAAUAUCAGGAACUCGCACAACAUCACAAACACUUGCAAUGGAAAAUAGCUGUUUGAUCACUUCAGGCUUAAUUUCAAACAGAGAAUUUGGAGACAUUUUCUAUAGGGUCUAUCUCAAUCUAACAAUGAGUGGCAGCCACACAGACCCUCAACACACUAUACAGCAAUGG